GCAUUGGUGACGACACCCCAGUGCGUUCCUUGGAGCUGAACAUAGUGAACAAAAACUCCAAACCAUCAGGCAGAAAAAUGC
ensembl:snoRNA SNORD116 Small nucleolar RNA SNORD116